rnacentral:lncRNA from 1 species
GAGACAUCCUCUAUAAACUUUCCUCCAUGAAAUUCAAGGAUCCACUGAAAGAUGGUGAGGCAAAGAUCAAAAGCGACUAUGCACAACUUCUUGAAGACAUGCAGAAUGCAUUCCGUAGCCUUGAAGAUUAGAAGCCUUGAAGAUUACAACUGUGAUUUCCUUUUCCUCAGCAAGCUCCUAUGUGUAUAUUUUCCUGAAUUUCUCAUCUCAAACCCUUUGCUUCUUUAUUGUGCAGCUUUGAGACUAGUGCCUAUGUGUGUUAUUUGUUUCCCUGUUUUUUUGGUAGGUCUUAUAUAAAACAAACAUUCCUUUGUUCUAGUGUUGUGAAGGGCCUCCCUCUUCCUUUAUCUGAAGUGGUGAAUAUAGUAAAUAUACAUUCUGGUUACACUACUGUAAACUUGUAUGUAGGGUGAUGACCCUCUUUGUCCUAGGUGUACCCUUUCCUCAUCUCUAUUAAAUUGUAAACAGGACUACUGCAUGUACUCUCUUUGCAGUGAAUUUGGAAUGGAAGGCCAGGUUUCUAUAACUUUUGAACAGGUACUUUGUGAAAUGACUCAAUUUCUAUUGUGGUAAGCUCAUUGGCAGCUUAGCAUUUUGCAAAGGAAUUGCUUUGCAGGAAAUAUUUAAUUUUCAAAAACAUAAUGAUUAAUGUUCCAAUUAUGCAUCACUUCCCCCAGUAUAAAUCAGGAAUGUUUGUGAGAAACCAUUGGGAACUAUACUCUUUUUAUUUUUAUUUUUUAUUUUUUUUAUUAUUUUUUUUUUGGGGACGGAGUGUCCCUCUUGUUGCCCAGGCUGGAGUGCAAUGGCGUGAUCUUGGCUCACUGCAGCCUUCGCCUCCCGGGUUCAAGUGAUUCUCCUGCCUCAGCCUCCCGAGUAGCUGGGAUUACAGGCAUGCUCCACCAUGCCCAGCUAAUUUUGUAUUUUUAGUAGAAACGGGGUUUCACCAUAUUGGUCAGGCUGGUCUCGAACUCCAGACCUCAGGUGAUCCGCCCACCUCGGCCUCCCAAACUGCUGGGAUUACAGGCGUGAGCCACCGCGCCUGGCCAGGGACUAUACUCUUUUUAAAAUAGACAUUUGUGGGGCUCACACAAUAUAUGAAAUAGUACCCUC